ensembl:lncRNA
CCAGCUUCUCACCCCCCACCACCCCCAGGUCCCUCUCCUCAGGGCUGCUCUCCAGCCAUUCCCUGCCCAUCCUGGAUUUGGGCUUGGCAUUGCCCUGGCCCUACUUCAGGACCUUGCACUCGGCCUUGGUGAACCUCAUGAGGUUUGAUCCAUCCAUGAAGAUGGAUCAGCACAAGGCAUUAAAAAAAAAAAAACUUUUCAAAAACAAAUAGUGUGUGGAAAGAGAGGAUGAAUUUGAACACACCGCGACACCACAGUCAGGACACCACAGUCAUAAACUGGGAGGAACAAGGCCGUAGCCAAGACACCAUACUCAGCAUGGAGCUUGUUGCAACAACACAGCUCCGCUGGGUCCCUGCCAAGCCAACCAGAAGAAAUGCUCUGCUGGAGAACCACCAAGUUCCCAGGUACUCAUUUCCAACACCCCAUCAACUUUUCACCGCAGCUCAGUGCCACCCAGUGAUGGUUUUUCCAGCGUUUAAAGCCUUAAGAUGCUCGUGCUGCUGAGCAGAAGGGGUCACUGGAUUUCAGCCUGCAGCCCCUGUGCUUGCUGGAGAGCACAAACCCCAGAAAAGUUUUGGGGAGAAAGUGCGUGACAUCCCCUCGAAGCCCUGGUUCAUUAUCCUCAACCUUACUAUUCAUUGAUUUUUGCAGGUUUCCAUCUCCAUACAUGUCUACCAGACUAAAGAGCCACUGCUGACAGUUUCUUCUUGCACGGUAACCCACAAACACAUCUGAAAGCACUUCUUUCCUAGCUUUCUCUUUGCUAACUUCAUCAUAUCGACUUCUGAACUUGUCAUAAGCUAAGUCUUGCAUUCCUACGGGAAGAAACGAGACUCACAAAUUGAAGUAUUUUAGGACAGAUUUUGGUGGAGGGGAAAACAAAGUCCCAUGGCCUGGCAGGAAACUGCAGAGGCUGUUUGUUAGCACUCCUGAUGGCUUACCUUGAACCUAGGGAAGGGAGUGAGUCCUGAGCCCAGUAUGGCCAGACAGACACUAAACAUAUGGCCAACGUAGGCAAACCUCUGAGUAGUAUGAUUCUUCUAGCUCAGUAUCCUAAAAAUUGUGAACGGCCUUUUCAGGAUUGAACACUGCCAAGCUGAAACUGUCUGCCUUUGCUGUGCCCCUAUGGGGGAUGCAAAACUCGGAUGUUUCAUCUCUGAAACAUGUCUUAGAUUUAAGGAGCUGUUCACACACCAGGGGAAAAAAAGUACAGUCUCAAAUUUUCCCGACUUUGAUUUUUCUAAAGGUCUUUGGUUUUGUUUUUAAAUCCUAUUUACUCAAGCACUCUGUUCAAAGGGUCCUCCACACAUAAGAUGACAUUCAUAACUUCAAGCAGCUUCUGGUUUUCCAUUUUGCUCUCAAAAAUCCCAUUUUGUCAGCAGUAGAAAGACUGAAAAUGCAUUUAUCCCAAUGGUCAAAUCUUUCCAGGAAACCCUCUGUGACUGCAAGCAUCCUUAAACUUCUCCCUUAUUUCACUAUUUUCUCCAACUUUGUUUCACUGCAUCAGAUUUUGAGGAUUUACAUAUGUACUAUCGCAGUGCCAGAGCACAGUUGUUAAAAUGUUGAAUUCAAAGCAACUCUACAACCCUUUUUCACUUGCUCUCCAGCUCAGCCCCAGCUUCCCGCUAAGCUACAAGCCUAUCACCUGCCAAUUCCCAGGAGCGCAGACUAUGAUCAUCACCACAGCUCACCUUUAUUCUGUUCCAAGGACGGUCAUCAAAUUUAUUUCAGUAAGGACGAUGCGGCUUAUUAGGGAUAAGGGAUAUGCAAAUGUUACUGUACGCGCUGAUCUUUUAUUUUUAGCAGCUCAGUGAUAUUUAUGAGGCUGUGAAGAACGGAUGCAGGACUGGGGGGGGAUGAAGGAAGGAUUUCAGGGACAGGUAUGAAAACUCUGCACAUCUGCAGAGCAGAACAAGCUCCUGGAAUCCAUGAAGAGAAGGCCAAAUGCCCCAAGCAACAUCAUGUCUUGUUGCAACUGUUCUCAGAAAUCAAGUAACUAGGAAAAAAUUAACAACUUGACCCUAACGCUUAGCUCAUCUUGUACAUUCCUUAUUACUAAAGUUAUUUUUGUGGUUUAAGUGCUAGAACAACAAAGUAAGGGAAUCUGAAACAUCUCCUUUGUGAAAGAACGGAGAGAGGAAUUUCAAGUUAACCUGAAUACACUGAUUUCAACAGUCCUUUUCCUGAAGGUCUUACACAAUCCUUAGAUACCCCCCAGCGUGCUUCAAUUUGCCAAUCUACAAAACAAUUACCUCUGGUGGCAACGCUAAAAGCCUACUUGUUUUUCAGGAUAUUGCUGUCUUCAAGGAAACGUCAAAUGUUUCAGUGCAGAUCUGCUCAUGCCUUUGCUGUAAAGUCAUCGUUAAAGGUGCAAACAAAAUCCUUACAUAAAACAUCACGCUCAAAAUGCAACAAGGUCCCAGGUGACAAUGAAAACUUGAUCCAAGCCAGAGGAACUGUGUAUGGAAAACUGCAGAGGAUGCCUUAUGCUGGCACCUGCAAAGCCUAACAGCCUACUUGCCCAGUCUCACUGGCAGCCAGAUCUGUAUUUAACAGCUUUUCGUCAUUCUGUAGUAUCGGGGAACUUUCAGGAAUUGGAUCAUAACUUAGUCCCUCUUGUUGGUCGCAGUUAUUUCCCUAAAACAAGGGUAACAGCUCCCAAACAGCUACCACAACCUGACCCACCUAGAACGGCAUACUGGUAGGGUUAUUUUUUUUUUUAACUAGAUGAAUACCUAAGCUUUGUUUCACUUCGUAUAUAUCCUCUUCCAUCCUAAGUAGCACAGAAAUCCAAUCGGUACCUAUUCCAACAUAAAGGUAAUGCAAAAAAUAAAUAGUUUCCUACUCCACCA